CUGGGAGUCACAGCAAUUUGAAGAGUUACUGUCCUCAGAAAGGUGAUAGCCUGACAUGGGCAGAUCCAACCCAAGGGGCUUAACACUUAAUGACCAGAAGGUGUCAAGGGGGCCAAAAAUCUGAUCCCUCAAGAACCUUUAUCAAUGCAACAGCCAAAAAUGACAACUAAAGCCCUUCCUUAGGCCAUGAUUCAGGGAUAUGCAAACUACUUGAAGUCAAUUUAAUUUCCCACCAGUCUGUCUUUUCUUAGGGCACAGAUACCAACCCAUGAAAGCAAUGCAUCGAAGAAGAUGUGUGUCUACCAUAGACUCAUACAAUGCCGCCUCCGCUGUUUGCAGACCCGCCGGCUGUGUGACGAGCUUCCUCCACACCCUCCCUGGAUCCUGCAAUGAAUAAACUCUAGCUGUGGAAAGAACAGCAAACACAGGUAGGUAUCACCCUGUGGCAGGCCAACUACAGGGGCAGUGAGAGCCGAGACAAUCAGUAAAUACGAAGGGCAUAAUGAUCAGGAUGGGGAGAUGGCUUUUUUUUUUUUUUUUUUUUUUGCAUUAGAUGAUUAGCUCUUUAGUACUAGAGCUAUGCCAUUUUUGUGAGUUGAAAAAUACUCUAAGCAUUUAAGACAAGUGGGAAACCAAAGUUCAGUUUUUAGGAACCGUUUAGGCGUUUAAUCGUUUUGAUUUCUUCAUAUUCACACUGAGGCUGUAUUCCUCAUAUCCUCCGGUAGGAUUGAGUUGGAUUAUUUUGGCCCAUCUCAGAUUUGGCUUAAGUGGUUUUGCCCCCCAAACCUUUUGGCGGUAAGAGAUUAGACCUUGCCACUCAAAGCGUGGUCCACGGUGCAUCAGCAUGCAUCAGCAUGAUCGUCACCUGAGAGGUUGUUAGAAGCCACAAUCUCAGAAUCUGCAUUAUAACGAGAUCCCCAGGUGGCUUGAAAAUUGCAGUCUUAGAAGCACUGAAUUGGGUCUCAACCCUGGCUGCACAUUCAAAUCAUCUAAAAACCUUAAAAAAAAAAAAAACAACAACAACAAACCACUAAUGCCUGGACCCGAAGCCCAGAGAUUCUGAUCUAAUUGCUCUAGCAUAGAACCAGGCAUUGAGAAUUUUUACC
rnacentral:lncRNA from 12 species